rnacentral:rRNA from 1 species
GUGGCGAGUGGCGAACGGGUGAGUAAUACAUCGGAACGUGCCCAAUCGUGGGGGAUAACGUAGCGAAAGUUACGCUAAUACCGCAUACGAUCUACGGAUGAAAGCGGGGGAUCGCAAGACCUCGCGCGAAUGGAGCGGCCGAUGUCAGAUUAGGUAGUUGGUGGGGUAAAGGCCUACCAAGCCGACGAUCUGUAGCUGGUCUGAGAGGACGACCAGCCACACUGGGACUGAGACACGGCCCAGACUCCUACGGGAGGCAGCAGUGGGGAAUUUUGGACAAUGGGCGCAAGCCUGAUCCAGCCAUUCCGCGUGCAGGAUGAAGGCCUUCGGGUUGUAAACUGCUUUUGUACGGAACGAAAAGGCUCUGGUUAAUACCCGGGGUUCAUGACGGUACCGUAAGAAUAAGCACCGGCUAACUACGUGCCAGCAGCCGCGGUAAUACGUAGGGUGCAAGCGUUAAUCGGAAUUACUGGGCGUAAAGCGUGCGCAGGCGGUUGUGUAAGACAGAGGUGAAAUCCCCGGGCUCAACCUGGGAACUGCCUUUGUGACUGCACGGCUGGAGUACGGCAGAGGGGGAUGGAAUUCCGCGUGUAGCAGUGAAAUGCGUAGAUAUGCGGAGGAACACCGAUGGCGAAGGCAAUCCCCUGGGCCUGUACUGACGCUCAUGCACGAAAGCGUGGGGAGCAAACGGGAUUAGAUACCCUGGUAGUCCACGCCCUAAACGAUGUCAACUGGUUGUUGGGUCUUCACUGACUCAGUAACGAAGCUAACGCGUGAAGUGACCGC